AUUAGGAAUCUUGUGCAAUGGGCGACAGCCUGACACAGCGACGCCGCGUGAGGGAGGACGGCCUUCGGGUUGUAAACCUCUUUUGUCGAGGAAGAAACAAAUGACGGUACUCGACGAAUAAGCCCCGGCUAACUCCGUGCCAGCAGCCGCGGUAAUACGGAGGGGGCGAGCGUUGUCCGAAGUUACUGGGCGUAAAGCGCGCGUAGGCGGGGAGGCAAGUCCGCUGUGAAAGCCUGAGGCUCAACCUCAGCGGGUCGGUGGAUACUGCCUCUCUUGAAGGCGUUAGGGGGAGAUGGAAUUACCGGUGUAGCGGUGAAAUGCGUAGAUAUCGGUAGGAACACCAGUGGCGAAGGCGGUCUCCUGGGACGUUCUUGACGCUGAGGCGCGAAAGCUGGGGGAGCGAACGGG
rnacentral:rRNA from 1 species